GAUGAAGAACGUAGCGAAAUGCGAUAAGUAAUGUGAAUUGCAGAAUUCAGUGAAUCAUCGAAUCUUUGAACGCACAUUGCGCCCCCUGGUAUUCCGGGGGGCAUGCCUGUCCGAGCGUCAUUACAACCCUCAAGCUCAGCUUGGUGUUGGGCCCCGCCGCCCCGGCGGGCCCUAAAGUCAGUGGCGGUGCCGUCCGGCUCCGAGCGUAGUAAUUCUUCUCGCUCUGGAGGUCCGGUCGUGUGCUCGCCAGCAACCCCCAAUUUUUUUCAGGUUGACCUCGGAUCAGGUAGGGAUACCCGCUGAACUUAAGCAUAUCAAUAACGGAGGA
rnacentral:misc_RNA from 1 species